GAUGAACGCUGGCGGCGUGCCUAAUACAUGCAAGUCGAGCGAACAGACGAGGAGCUUGCUCCUCUGACGUUAGCGGCGGACGGGUGAGUAACACGUGGAUAACCUACCUAUAAGACUGGGAUAACUUCGGGAAACCGGAGCUAAUACCGGAUAAUAUAUUGAACCGCAUGGUUCAGUAGUGAAAGACGGUUUUGCUGUCACUUAUAGAUGGAUCCGCGCCGCAUUAGUUAGUUGGUAAGGUAACGGCUUACCAAGGCAACGAUGCGUAGCCGACCUGAGAGGGUGAUCGGCCACACUGGAACUGAGACACGGUCCAGACUCCUACGGGAGGCAGCAGUAGGGAAUCUUCCGCAAUGGGCGAAAGCCUGACGGAGCAACGCCGCGUGAGUGAUGAAGGUCUUCGGAUCGUAAAACUCUGUUAUUAGGGAAGAACAAAUGUGUAAGUAACUAUGCACGUCUUGACGGUACCUAAUCAGAAAGCCACGGCUAACUACGUG
rnacentral:rRNA from 1 species